rnacentral:rRNA from 1 species
ACUACGGGUGGCAGCAGUGGGGAAUAUUGGGCAAUGGGCGCAAGCCUGACCCAGCAACGCCGCGUGAAGGAAGAAGGCUUUCGGGUUGUAAACUUCUUUUCUCAGGGACGAAGAAAGUGACGGUACCUGAGGAAUAAGCCACGGCUAACUACGUGCCAGCCGCCGCGGUAAUACGUAGGUGGCAAGCGUUAUCCGGAUUUAUUGGGUGUAAAGGGCGUGUAGGCGGGAGCGCAAGUCAGAUGUGAAAACUCAGGGCUCAACCCUGAGCCUGCAUUUGAUACUGUGUUUCUUGAGUGCUGGAGAGGCAAUCGGAAUUCCGGGUGGAGCGGUGAAAUGCGUAGAUAGACGGAGGAACACCAGUGGCGAAGGCGGAUUGCUGGACAGUAACUGACGCUGAGGCGCGAAAGCGUGGGGAGCAAACAGGAUUAGAUACCCGGGUAGUC